rnacentral:rRNA from 1 species
CGUAGGGUGCAAGCGUUGUCCGGAAUUAUUGGGCGUAAAGAGCUCGUAGGCGGUCUGUUGCGUCGGCAGUGAAAACCCGGGGCUCAACCCCGGGCCUGCAGCCGAUACGGGCAGACUAGAGUUCGGCAGGGGAGACUGGAAUUCCUGGUGUAGCGGUGAAAUGCGCAGAUAUCGGGAGGAACACCGGUGGCGGAGGCGGUUCUCUGGGCCUUACCUGACGCUGAGGAGCGAAAGCGUGGGGAGCGAACAGG